CACGUAGGGCGCAAGCGUGUCCGGAAUUAUUGGGCGUAAAGAGCUCCGUAGGCGGUCUGUUACGUCUGCUGUGAAAACCCGGGGCUUAACCCUGGGCUUGCAGUGGAUACGGGCAGACUAGAGGCAGGUAGGGGAGAAUGGAAUUCCCGGUGUAGCGGUGAAAUGCGCAGAUAUCGGAGGAACACCGGUGGCGAAGGCGGUUCUCUGGGCCU
rnacentral:rRNA from 1 species